rnacentral:rRNA from 1 species
UACGUAGGGGGCGAGCGUUGUCCGGAAUUAUUGGGCGUAAAGAGCGUGUAGGCGGUUCGGUAAGUCUGCCGUGAAAACCUGGGGCUCAACCCCGGGCGUGCGGUGGAUACUGCCGGGCUAGAGGGUGGUAGAGGCGAGUGGAAUUCCCGGUGUAGUGGUGAUAUGCGUAGAUAUCGGGAGGAACACCAGUGGCGAAGGCGGCUUUCUGGGCAUUUCCUGACGCUGAGACGCGAAAGCGUGGGGAGCGAACCGG